GAAAUUCCACACAGAGCCGAUCUCAGCAAGAACCAUAUGACGACAGGAGUCGGAUUCUCAUACCGUGUAAUUUUGCUGGAAUUCACCACGAACUUUUCAUCUGUAUUUCCCAGGAUAUAUGGAUACUUCCAUCUAUGAAUGUGCACACAUGAAUAGAUGCAGCACAUGUUCACUUGAGGAAUGACUGGAGCAUAGAGACAGAAGGAGGAGGAACUAAAGCAGGACUCCAUAAAGCUCAGCAUCCGGCACUGUAGGCUCUCACCACUGCAUGCCAAGAAACCAGACCAAGCGUCUCUAGAGCUCUGGAUCCACAGGGAAGAAUUCAGCAGUCAUGUCUCUUGGAGCCAAAUAUGAAAUGUUCAAGAUAUUCUAAUAAUGCUUAAAUAUCUCAGAGGAAGACACACCAGUUCAUUAGAUUUUUGUACUUUGCAUGAGACCCUGGC